GCCUUCGUGGUGUAGUGGUCAGCACGCUGGGCGCGUAUUCCAGAGGUCUUUGGUUCGAGUCCCGGCGAAGGCA
rnacentral:tRNA from 1 species